AGUCGAGCGGACAGAAGGGAGCUUGCUCCCGGAUGUUAGCGGCGGACGGGUGAGUAACACGUGGGUAACCUGCCUGUAAGACUGGGAUAACUCCGGGAAACCGGAGCUAAUACCGGAUAGUUCCUUGAACCGCAUGGUUCAAGGAUGAAAGACGGUUUCGGCUGUCACUUACAGAUGGACCCGCGGCGCAUUAGCUAGUUGGUGAGGUAACGGCUCACCAAGGCGACGAUGCGUAGCCGACCUGAGAGGGUGAUCGGCCACACUGGGACUGAGACACGGCCCAGACUCCUACGGGAGGCAGCAGUAGGGAAUCUUCCGCAAUGGACGAAAGUCUGACGGAGCAACGCCGCGUGAGUGAUGAAGGUUUUCGGAUCGUAAAGCUCUGUUGUUAGGGAAGAACAAGUGCAAGAGUAACUGCUUGCACCUUGACGGUACCUAACCAGAAAGCCACGGCUAACUACGUGCCAGCAGCCGCGGUAAUACGUAGGUGGCAAGCGUUGUCCGGAAUUAUUGGGCGUAAAGGGCUCGCAGGCGGUUUCUUAAGUCUGAUGUGAAAGCCCCGGCUCACCGGGGAGGGUCAUUGGAAACUGGGAAACUUGAGUGCAGAGAGGAGAGU
rnacentral:rRNA from 1 species